rnacentral:rRNA from 1 species
GAUGAACGCUGGCGGCGUGCCUAAUACAUGCAAGUCGAGCGAACAGACGAGGAGCUUGCUCCUCUGACGUUAGCGGCGGACGGGUGAGUAACACGUGGAUAACCUACCUAUCAGACUGGGAUAACUUCGGGAAACCGGAGCUAAUACCGGAUAAUAUAUUGAACCGCAUGGUUCAAUAGUGAAAGACGGUUUUGCUGUCUCUUAUAGAUGGAUCCGCGCCGCAUUAGCUAGUUGGUAAGGUAACGGCCUACCAAGGCAACGAUGCGUAGCCGACCGGAGAGGGUGAUCGGCCACACUGGAACUGAGACACGGUCCAGACUCCUACGGGAGGCAGCAGUAGGGAAUCUUCGGCAAUGGGCGAAAGCCUGACGGAGCAACGCCGCGUGAGUGAUGAAGGUCUUCGGAGCGUAAAACUCUGUUAUUAGGGAAGAACAAAUGUGUAAGUAACCAUGCACGUCUUGACGGUACCUAAUCAGAAAGCAACGGCUAACUACGUG